rnacentral:rRNA from 1 species
GAUGAACGCUGGCGGCGUGCCUAAUACAUGCAAGUCGAGCGAACAGACGAGGAGCUUGCUCCUCUGACGUUAGCGGCGGACGGGUGAGUAACACGUGGAUAACCUACCUAUAAGACUGGGAUAACUUCGGGAAACCGGAGCUAAUACCGGAUAAUAUAUUGAACCGCAUGGUUCAAUAGUGAAAGACGGUUUUGCUGUCACUUAUAGAUGGAUCCGGGCUGCAUUAGCUAGUUGGUAAGGUAACGGCUUACCAAGGCAACGAUGCGUAGCCGACCUGAGGGGGUGGUCGGCGACACUGGAACUGAGACACGGUCCAGACUCCUACGGGAGGCAGCAGUAGGGAAUCUUCCGCAAUGGGCGAAAGCUUGACGGAGCAACGCCGCGUGAGUGAUGAAGGUCUUCGGAUCGUAAAACUCUGUUAUUAGGGAAGAACAAAUGUGUAAGUAACUAUGCACGUCUUGACGGUACCUAAUCAGAAAGCCACGGCUAACUACGUG